rnacentral:rRNA from 1 species
AACCCUCCGAAAGGAGAGCUAAUACAGCAUAAGACCACGACCUCGUUGAGGUUGCGGCCAAAGCAGGCCUCUACUUGUAAGCUUGCGUUUGAGGAUGAGCCUGCGGCCCAUCAGCUAGUUGGUAAGGUAACGGCUUACCAAGGCUAAGACGGGUAGCUGGUCUGAGAGGAUGAACAGCCACACUGGAACUGAGACACGGUCCAGACUCCUACGGGAGGCAGCAGUAGGGAAUCUUGCGCAAUGGGCGAAAGCCUGACGCAGCGACGCCGCGUGAGCGAUGAAGGCCUUCGGGUUGUAAAGCUCUGUGGGGAGGGAAGAAUAAGAGCUGGCUAAUACCUUGCUCGAUGACGGUACCUCCUUAGCAAGCACCGGCUAACUCUGUGCCAGCAGCCGCGGUAA